UUUUUAUCUAGAUCAAGUGUGGUAUGUGUACUAAUUUUAAUUUCUGUAGCAAUUUUCAUUUGUUACAGAAAUUAAAACUUUUUCACACUAAACCAAGGUAAGUAAGUAAUCACCAUGGAAACUAUUCUUUGGAGAAUUUGGAAGGAAGAAGAAGAAUAAUAAAUAUUGUGAACCAAUUUGAUCAACUUUGCAUUAAUUAUUAUUUUUGUAAGCAAGUUUAUGAAAUGAGGCCUGAAAACAAGUUCAAUAGGACAAGUCACAAGAUAUAUUGCAUGAGUGUAAUCUUGUAACUGAUACUUUUAAAUAAUGAGGUCUUUCAACACAUGCAGUUUAAUCAUGUUAAUGUUAAAAUCCUACAAGAAAUGCAUUCAAAAUAUUUUUGUUUUUAAAUGUAUCAUUAUUACCUUUAGAGUGAAAAAGUAGUAUUGUGUAGCUUGCAUAUAUUAUUAUUCUGCAAAUAUUCAACAUGAUACUGUUGGAUAACUGCCUCCAUCAGGUAAAAAGAAUGUUCCAAUAGCACCAUGAUAACAUCUACAGUAAUCCAUGGUAAACAAUGUGAUGUUAGGACAGAACAUAGCUCCAGCCUCCCUGUCAAUGCCACAGUUAGGUCCAGGCCAGAUAAAAGUCCGGUGGUAUGAUAUACCAAAUGGUCCACACAGCACAAGGCUUGGUGACACAAUCAAUACAGCUUCAAACAGCAUCAAAUCCAGUCCAGAUCCAUGGUAGUGCACCAAUAUCACAGAUUAGUGUCAAUUCUGUUACUCCAGCAUUAAGUGCAGGUUUGUAAAUGCAAGGUGAAGAAUACUUCAGCCAAUGUUAAGAGGCCAGCAAUCCAGAACAAGUCAAAACAAAAAAGUCCAUAGCUCAAACUCCACCAUCACAACUAUAAUCUGAGCCACAGAUUAUUUACAGCCUUUAUACAUUUAACAGAAGAAAAACUAGGUUUCAAAGAUAUGAACAGUAAUAGUGAGAAGACAAAUGACACAGAAACAGGGAACCAGUCAUCAUCUCCUGUUCCAGUAACAGACAGCACAGCAUUGACAAUUGAUGAUAAUUCAUAGCAUUUGCUUGUAUCAACUGUUGUUAAAUAUUGGAAUCUGUCCUACUGGGUUAUUGUAAAAAAAAUUACUUGUUAAAUUUAUAUACCAGUAGAUUUGUUAUGGAAAAUUCACAGAGGUGACAAGUUUUUCUGUUGGAAAGUCUUUUAAAAAAAAUUAAAAUGAAAUCAUUUGUGAUGUGUGAUAAGCUUCUAAUAAUCAGAAAAGAGUUUGCUUUUUACUCAUCUGUUUAAAAAAAUGAAAUGACUCAAGUUUUAUUAGAGUUAUCUGUGAUAGCUGCAGAUUGUAACCAUAUUUUGAUCAAUAGUUAUAUGUUAAUCAUAAAAAAAUAUUUCAUUAUAAAUUAUAGAUAUGUCAAUACACACAGAAUUCUAGUGUCAUUAUUUUAUGGUUUUCAAUGUUCAUAGUAAUGUUUAAAUAUUUAAGACCAACUAUUACGUAAUUCAAUUAACUUAUAAUCAAGCCUCAUUAUCUAUUUGUAAAGUUCCGUGUGUGGCAUAGAAAAGUAAAGAGGUUUUGUUAAGUUACCAAUUUUUAUUAUUAUAUUAUGUCUGUAACAGGUAAUCAAAGUUUUCCCGAUUUUCUUCUUUGUGAAAUAAUAAGCAUUCUUUCAACCCGUUGAUGGCUGAUGUAAAGUUUAAAAAAAUGAAAUAGAUAAAAAGAUAAUUUUUACUAAGGCAAGAUGAACUUGUUUGUACAGAUAGAUUUCACUUAAGCCAAGUGAAGAGUUAUUCUUAGACUAAUUUAAUCUAACAUGGAAGUUAUGAGAGUUCUAUUUGUUUGUGGGUAGAAUAACAUUUUACAUGUGUAGCUUUUAAUUUUAUGAAUCUGAUAUUCAAUAUUGCCAGUCUUUUGAUUUUUCCAUUCUUUAUAUAAAUUUUGAAAACAAAUUCCAUACAAAAUCCUUCAACCACAGGUGUGUUCUGUAUAUUUUAUGUUUAUAUGAAUGUGAAUCAUUUAGCUGUGUCCAUAAGUACAAUUAGUUUUUGUAAGGUUUUAAGGUCUUAUUAAAAAAAUCCUGUAAAGUUUCCCUACUUGCCUAGAAUAUUGUCUUUGGUCUAAAAAUAGUCAACACUUACAAAGUAUGGUAUCAAGGUGUAAAAUGUGGUCAAAAUACUAUGUAAUAGUUAUGUAUAUUGUGGUUAACUAAAUUCUCUGAAAAAAACAUAUUUACAUGUGAUAUUAUUCCUAUUAAUCAGUACCUUUUUUGUCAUCCAUAGAUUCAUAUACAUCAUAAAACUAUAUCUUUCAGGUUUAUUACUCAUUGAAAUAAGGAAAUAUACAAUUAAGGGACUUUUUGCAUAAUUUUCAUAUUUUGCUAAGAAUUCAAAUAUUCAUAUCCAUCAAGCCAAUAUCUAAUUUCAUCGAAUCUUCAAUUUCAGUGUGCCAUUAUGAGUUUUAAAAUUUGUAUUGAUUGCAAUAAAAUUUAUGUAGAACAAAAAGGCGUAAGUCCUUUUUGAAGGGACAAAACCUGAGACUUUCUAACAGCAUGAAGUUUCUGUGGCCUCUUUUUCACAUGCUCAGUCUAAUAAAAGUUGGUAACUGUAACCACCACUUUAAAAUAAAAAGAAAAUGAAAUUUAAGAAAAAACAUAAUUUUAGGAAUUUACUUCAUGUAUAGGUUUAUGAAUUUCUUGAAUGAGGCUCUAUUUACUUGAACAUUGAUGCAAAACUCUUAAUGUCAAUCAAGAAAGUAUAUUUUAUUACAAAUGCAUGAUACAAGAAUACUGCAUGGCAUAAAGUAUCCAAUAACAGUUGUUCUGGUUUCCUUCAAUGUGAUGCAUCUUAUAGUCUAUCAGUCUUAUAAGUAACAUCUGAAUUCUUAUGGAAUAGAACCACUAAUUUGGGGCCAGUCAGAAAAAAACAUACAAGAAAGUAGUACAUAUUUUAGGCAAAAAGUUAUAACUUUGCAUAUUAGUAAAAUAUUUUCAUUUCAAAUGAAAGCUUAGGGACUUUUGGUCACUGUAGAACACUUGUUGAAAGUUUCUUUUGAAUAAUAAAAAAAAAGGUAUGAAAUUGAAAUAGUAGGGCAUUUUUUGCCUGUUGCUCAGAUCAGAGUUACCAGUUUUUUUUAAUACCAAACUUUAAGGAACCAGUGUGAUCUUAUGCAAUUAAAGGUAUGAUAAUUUUUUCAGCAAAAACACAGGAUAAGGUAUAGGUUUUAACUGAAAUGACUGUCACUUUAUUUAAACUUAAGGAUGUACUUAGGUGAAAUUAAAAAAAAUCUAGAAUUAAAACUUGAUAUUAUAAGUCAGAAGAGCAUUAGUUAAGGAACAAAAUAAGCUUAAAAUAUUGAUAGGUAAUGGAGCUCCUUUUCAAGAUAUUUAAUUUUUAAAAAAUGGCAGGAAAAGGCUGACUCUAACUUUUACCAUAUAUAUUUGCAUUGGUACUAUUUGGGUCUCAAAUCGAAAGAAAAGAAAUCUAGAAUCCGCUUAAAUUUUGGUAAAUGACCUUUUAAGAGCUAUUUUAAAAGUCUUAUAUAAAAAGAAAAAUGGGUGUUAUGGGGCAAAAUAUUUUAAAAACCAAGGAGUACGAACAUCUGACAAAAAUUCCUAAACCUGACCUAAGUACAUCCUUAAGACAGACUACCUAUGAAAGCUUGAAAUUGCAGAAUUUAACAUAGAAAGCAAUUGGGCUAUGCAUUAGUGAUUUUAUUCCUUAUUGUAAUACUUACCAUACUGCCAUAAUUUAUCAACUUUUUUGUCUAUUUGAAAGUACACCACUUUAAUAAAAGCAAAUUUGUGACCCAAAAUUUUUUAUAUACUGUAAACUAUCUGCAACUCUUCUGACAGAUAUUUUGCGUCAAUCAAGUUGACUUGUUGGCCAAAAUUCUUCAUCAGUUAUAAAUGAUCUCAUUACUUCUCGUCCUCAUUUAGUAGGUCAUUGUGAUCUAUAGCUUAAUAUUAAAAAAAUAUUUGUUUAUAAGAUAUUAAGAUGUUAGAUAGUUAUGUGAUUUUAUAUAAGAAUAAUAUAUAUCUUUUAAGAUAAUAAAAGUGUCAGAAUUUGAACUUUGAAAUGUCUUGUGUGUAAAAAGGUAUUAUUCUGCAGCUACCACGGUACAUUAUAAUUAAACAAAAUAGUAUACAAAGGUAAAUUUUUGUGUAUAUAUUAUUGAUACUAGUUUUUUUCCUUACACAUGUGAUAUUCCUCAUGAUUGUCACAAUUAUUAUCUGUUUUUGCUGCCUUCUUCCCUUCUAUGAAUAAUGUUUUCUGUCAUAUUGGUCAGAGUUCUAUGUUUGAUAGAAAGGUUCUCACUACUUCUGUCACUUGACAUUUCAUUUCUGUAAUGAUGUUUUUACUAUCUCAAUAAUGCAUUCUGUUAUUUUGGUCAGAAUUCUUCGUCCUGACAAAUGACCUCAUAACUUACACUCACAUAACAUUUCAUUUAUGUAAUAAUGUUUUUGCUGCCUUCGUCCUGUCUCUCAAUAAUGUAUUUGGUUAUUAGGGUCAGAAUUCUUUGUCUGUUAUAAAAGACCUCAUUACUUCUUUAUUCAUCAAAUUAUUGUGGUGCAUUAAUUUUUAAUUAAAAUAUGUAUGGGCACACAGAUGCACUGCAAUAAUCAAAAUAAUAUGAUAUGAAAUUAUUGUAUGCUCUUAAAGUUAUAAAGUAAAAUUGUAAAAUACCAGAAUUUUGAUAUAAGAAAAUUUUUAUUAUGAUUGAAUGUAUAACAAAUAUAAACAACAACUGCAUCUUUUAAUUUGUCAGUUUUGUGUUUAUUCUAAUUGAGUUGAACUCUUAUAAAUGUGUGCAAUUAAGUUGUUCAGUCUGGUAUCUUAAACCUAUUUCCAAGUCAGUUUUAUAAUUAUGCUCAUAGUUGGAAAUUUUUCUUCCAGUCUUCCAGUCUUCCAGAAGUAUCUUCUUUUGGAAGAAAGCUCAUGUUAAUGGCCUAGUUAUCAAUGUCUUAAUACAUUAACCAUUCUAAAUAUAUAUAUCAAAAUUAAAUAUUUAUAUAAUAUUAUCUUGCAAUUUAUAUGAAACUUUUGCAUGUUUGAUAAAAGUUAGAGUAUAUCUCGACAGAGAUAAAUAUAGAAUCUAAAACUGUAAUAUGCUGAAUUUAUAAAGUUGCAGCUCUUCUCUAGAAUUUUAAAGUUUCUAUGUGACAAUCUAUUCCAUAAUGUUUUCCUAUUCUACUAUAAAAUUUACUUAUUUUGCUAACAGUACAAUUGUAUAUCCUGUAUGCAAGUAGACAAAGUCAGAGGAUUGUUCCAUUAAAAUGGAUGUUAGAGGGUUUGAAGGGUUUUCCAAUCCAAACCCCUGAAUGACAUAUUUUCUCUGAGUACAAAUGUAAUUAUUUAAACAAAUGGCCACACAAUAAUAAAUUGGCCAGGAUUGGACCCAGAACCUAUUUUUAAAAAUAAAACAUCCAUCACACAUUUAUUUUAAUAGAAUAGCCUUGACAAUAUCUUUAGUCAUAGAGAUCAUCUCAGUAUAAAACAAUAAAUUAGCUUUGUCUACCUGCAUACAAACACUAUAUAUUUUGUAACUAUAUGAUAAUAGCCUAAGAUAUUUCUUAAUUAGUAAUUAUAUAUCUUUUAUUGUAGUAAUACAAUAAUGUAUUCUGUUAUUUUGGUCAGAAUGAUUGACCUCAUAUAACCUUCCUACCACAUGAAAAUUCAUUUAUGUAAUGAUGCUUUUGCUGCCUUCUUCCCUUCUCUGUAUUUGUUCCCUAUAGGAAAUUUUGAAACAAGAAUUAUAUAUCUGUCAAAACACACUGAAUUUUGACUUUAUUAGAUUAUGAUUUUUCAAUAUUUUAGUUCAUAUUAAUCGUUUCUAAUUGUAAAAGCAGGAGUAUUUGUAUUUAUAUAGUGUAAAUAACUAUCUGAAACUCUUUAUAAAAGAUGUUUUCAUCAGUCAAGUUGACUUGUUGGCCAAAAUUCUUCAUCAGUUGUAAAUGAUCUCAUUACUUCUCCUCCUCAGGAAGUAGGUGAUUGUGAUCUAUAGCUUGAUAAUAAAAAAAAAAAUUUUUAUAAGAUGAUAAGAUGUUUAAUGUGAUUUUAUAUAAGAAUAAUAUAUAUCUUUUAAGAUGAUAAAAGUGUCAGAAUUUGAACUUUGAAAUGUCUUGCAUGUGAAAAGGUAUGAGUCUGCAGCUACACUAUAAUUGAACAAAAAAGAUACUGUUCUCUUCCUUAAUUAAUUGUGUGAUUUUCCUCAUGAUUGUAACACUAUAAUUGAACAAAAUAGUAUACAAAGAUAUGUUGUUAUGUAUAUGUUAUUGAUACUAAUUUCUUCCUUACAAAUGUGAUAUCCUUCAUGAUUGUCACAAUUAUUAUCUGUUUUUGCUGCCUUCUUCCCUUCCCUUUUAAAAUAAUGUUUUCUGUUAUUUUGGUCAGAAUUCUAUGUCUGUUAUAAAUGACCUCAUUACUUCCUUGACAAUUCAUUUAUGUUAUAUUGCUGCUUUUUUCCCUUCUCCAAAUAAUGUAUCUGUGACAAAUGAUCUCAUUACUUCUUCCCUUCUUUGUAUAUCGUUAUUUUGGUCCGAAUGAGAUAUCUGUGAUAAAUGAUCUCAUUACUUCUUCCCUUCUCUGUAUUUCCACGUUAUUUGGGUCAGAAUGAGAUAUCUGUAACAAAUGAUCUCAUUACUUCUUCCCUUCUUUGUAUUUCGUUAUUUUGGUCAGAAUGAGAUAUCUGUGAUAAAUGAUCUCAUUACUUCUUCCCUUCUUUGUAUUUCGUUAUUUUGGUCAGAAUGAGAUAUCUGUGAUAAAUGAUCUCAUUACUUCUUCUCUUCUCUGUAUUUCCACGUUAUUUGGGUCAGAAUGAGAUAUCUGUAACAAAUGAUCUCAUUACUUCUUCCCUUCUUUGUAUUUCGUUAUUUUGGUCAGAAUGAGAUAUCUGUGAUAAAUGAUCUCAUUACUUCUUCCCUUCUAUGUAUUUCGUUAUUUUGGUCAGAAUGAGAUAUCUGUAACAAAUGAUCUCAUUACUUCUUCCCUUCUAUGUAUUUCGUUAUUUUGGUCAGAAUGAGAUAUCUGUGACAAAGGAUCUCAUUACUUCUUGUCCAAUCACAAUUCAGUUAUCAAAUCAUUUCAAUAAAUAAACUUUAUAUGCAAGGUCAAAAGGUUUCACUGCAAUAACUUAAGUAAUAUUUACACUAACAUUUAGUGUCUAUAAUCAUCUUUAGUAAAACCAACAUAAUGGCAAUGAAAACUGCAAUGUUCCAUGAGGAUUUAA